rnacentral:rRNA from 1 species
CUCAGAAUGAACGCUGGCGGCGUGCCUAACACAUGCAAGUCGGAUGUGCCGCAUGGUGCAUGGCAGACGGGUGAGUAACGCGUGGGAAACCUACCUCUUUGUGGGGAAUAACGCUCCGAAAGGAGUGGUAAUACCGCAUGAGACCGUUGGCUGGGACGCUGACGGUGAAACCUGGGGACCGUAAGGCCUGGGGCAAGGAGAGGGUCCUGCGUCUGAUUAGCUAGUUGGUGGGGUAACGGCCUACCAAGGCGACGAUCAGUAGCCGGCCUGAGAGGUGAUCGGCCACACUGGAACUGAGACACGGUCCAGACUCCUACGGGAGGCAGCAGUGGGGAAUUUUGCGCAAUGGGCGAAAGCCUGACGCAGCAACGCCGCGUGGGUGAUGAAGGUCUUCGGAUCGUAAAACCCUGUCGUCAGGGACGAAGGUCGGUCGUUGAAUAGGCGAUUGGCUUGACGGUACCUGGAGAGGAAGCCCCGGCUAACUCUGUGCCAGCAGCCGCGGUAAUACAGAGGGGGCAAGCGUUAUUCGGAAUUAUUGGGCGUAAAGGGCGCGUAGGCGGUUUUUUAAGUGAGAUGUGCAAUCCCCGAGCUUAACUUGGGAACUGCAUCUCAGACUGGAAGGCUAGAGUGCUGGAGAGGGUGGUAGAAUUCCACGUGUAGCGGUGAAAUGCGUAGAGAUGUGGAGGAAUACCAGUGGCGAAGGCGGCCACCUGGACAGUAACUGACGCUGAGGCGCGAAAGUGUGGGUAGCAAACAGGAUUAGAUACCCUGGUAGUCCACGCUGUAAACGAUGAACACUUGGUGUGGUGGGAGUUGACCCCUGCCGUGCCGUAGCUAACGCGAUAAGUGUUCCGCCUGGGGAGUACGGUCGCAAGGCU